AAAUGCGAUAAGUAAUGUGAAUUGCAGAAUUCAGUGAAUCAUCGAAUCUUUGAACGCACCUUGCGCUCCUUGGUAUUCCUUGGAGCAUGCCUGUUUGAGUAUCAUGAAAUCUUCAAAGUAAAUCUUUUGUUAACUCAAUUGGUUUCUACUUUGGUAUUGGAGGUCUUUGCAGCUUCACACCUGCUCCUCUUUGUUCAUUAGCUGGAUCUCAGUGUUAUGCUUGGUUCCACUCGGCGUGAUAAGUUAUCUACCGCUGAGGACACUGUAAAAGGUGGCCAAGGUAAAUGCAGAUGAACCGCUUCUAAUAGUCCAUUGACUUGGACAAUACUUUUAUGAUCUGAUCUCAAAUCAGGUAGGACUACCCGCUGAACUUAAGC
rnacentral:misc_RNA from 1 species